rnacentral:rRNA from 1 species
GGUGAGUAAUGCUUGGGAAUCUGGCUUAUGGAGGGGGAUAACGACGGGAAACUGUCGCUAAUACCGCGUAUUAUCGGAAGAUGAAAGUGCGGGACUGAGAGGCCGCAUGCCAUAGGAUGAGCCCAAGUGGGAUUAAGUAGUUGGUGGGGUAAAGGCCUACCAAGCCAGCGAUCUCUAGCUGGUCUGAGAGGAUGACCAGCCACACUGGAACUGAGACACGGUCCAGACUCCUAUGGGAGGCAGCAGUGGGGAAUAUUGCGCAAUGGGGGGAACCCUGACGCAGCCAUGCCGCGUGAAUGAAGAAGGCCUUCGGGUUGUAAAGUUCUUUCGGUAUUGAGGAAGUUUGAUGUGUUAAUAGCACAUCACAUUGACGUUAAAUACAGAAGAAGCACCGGCUAACUCCGUGCCAGCAGCCGCGGUAAUACGGAGGGUGCGAGCGUUAAUCGGAAUAACUGGGCGUAAAGGGCACGCAGGCGGUUAUUUAAGUGAGGUGUGAAAGCCCCGGGCUUAACCUGGGAAUUGCAUUUCAGACUGGGUAACUAGAGUACUUUAGGGAGGGGUAGAAUUCCACGUGUAGCGGUGAAAUGCGUAGAGAUGUGGAGGAAUACCGAAGGCGAAGGCAGCCCCUUGGGAAUGUACUGACGCUCAUGUGCGAAAGCGUGGGGAGCAAACAGGAUUAG